UACAGAGGUCUCAAGCGUUGUUCGGAUUCAUUGGGCGUAAAGGGUGCGUAGGCGGCGCGGUAAGUCGGGUGUGAAAUCUCGGAGCUUAACUCCGAAACUGCAUUCGAUACUGCCGUGCUUAAGGACUGGAGAGGAGACUGGAAUUUACGGUGUAGCGGUGAAAUGCGUAGAUAUCGUAAGGAAGACCAGUGGCGAAGGCGGGUCUCUGGACAGUUCCUGACGCUGAGGCGCGAAGGCCAGGGGAGCAAACGGG
rnacentral:rRNA from 1 species